rnacentral:rRNA from 1 species
AUUGAACGCUGGCGGCGUGCCUAACACAUGCAAGUCGAGCGGUAACAGGUGUAGCAAUACAUGCUGACGAGCGGCGAGCGGGUGAGUAAUGCUUCGGAAUCUACCCAAUGGUGGGGAAUAACCAGCCGAAAGGUUGGCUAAUACCGCAUACGUCCCACGGGAGAAAGCAGGGGAUCGCAAGACCUUGCGCCAAUGGAUGAGCCGAAGUCGGAUUAGCUAGNGGUAGGGUAACGGCCUACCAAGGCGACGAUCCAUAGCUGGUCUGAGAGGACGACCAGCCACACUGGGACUGAGACACGGCCCAGACUCCUACGGGAGGCAGCAGUGGGGAAUAUUGGACAAUGGGGGAAACCCUGAUCCAGCGACGCCGCGUGUGUGAAGAAGGCCUGCGGGUUGUAAAGCACUUUUAGU